UGAUUAAUUUAAAUCGAAUAAAAAACAUAUUAGAAAAGGUAAGCUACAUUCGAAUAGAUAGCAAUAUGCCCAGAAGUCAAUAUACUGAGUACUUGUUUCCAGGCACAACAAGAAAUCUCCUCCAAGAAACUCUACUCUCGCCCUAUUUUAAUAACCGGGGAAUUUUAAUAACCGGGGAGCACAUAAUUCGGCCAAAUACAAAUCAAACACUGAAUAGGAUGUUGCAGAAGGAAGAACAAAGGCCGUUGAAGAUCAAUUCUAUGGAUAUUCCACUACCGAUCCAAGCUACCAGGACGACAUUCUUAGAAUAGUGUUGCUUCUUCAUUAUUAUGGUUGUUAAAAAUAAAUACUUUGAGUUCUAAUCAUCGCAAAUUUUCAA